GACGAACGCUGGCGGCGUGCUUAACACAUGCAAGUCGAACGGGGCUUGCCCUUUGGGGUGGGUUUAGUGGCGAACGGGUGAGUAACACGUGGGUAAUCUGCCCUCAGCUCUGGGAUAACUCCGGGAAACCGGGCUAAUACUGGAUAUGACUACUGGUGACAUCGCCUGGUGGUGGAAAGAUUUUUUGGCUGAGGAUGGGCCCGCGGCCUAUCAGCUUGUUGGUGGGGUAAUGGCCUACCAAGGCUUCGACGGUAGCCGGCCUGAGAGGGCGACCGGCCACACUGGGACUGAGACACGGCCCAGACU
rnacentral:rRNA from 1 species